rnacentral:snoRNA from 1 species
AUCCCAUGGUUUGGACACUUCCUCAUCAACUUCUUAAAUUUGUUCCAAGCCUCGCGAUAGCUUUCCCCAUCUUUCUGUUGAAAGGCUUGAAUUUUCAAUUUGAUUUU